UACGUAGGGUGCGAGCGUUGAUCCGGAAUUAUUGGGCGUAAAGAGCUCGUAGGCGGUUUGUCGCGUCUGCUGUGAAAAACUCGGGGGCUUAACCCCCGGGCCUGCAGUGGGUACGGGGCAGACUAGAGUGCGGUAGGGGAGACUGGAAUUCCUGGUGUAGCGGUGAAAUGCGCAGAUAUCAGGAGGAACACCGGUGGCGAAGGCGGAUCUCUGGGCCAUUACUGACGCUGAGGAGCGAAAGCGUGGGGAGCGAACAGG
rnacentral:rRNA from 1 species